AUAUGAAUCAUUCAGGGAUCUCAUUAAAAUGCAGAUUCUGAUUGAGGGGACUGUGAUUCUGCAUUUCUAACAAGCUUCCAGGGGAUGUGAUG
rnacentral:pre_miRNA from 1 species